GGUCAAACCGACGUUUUCUGCCUUAGCCUCCUCUACCUGUUGCACGACGCGCUGCAGGCCUCGGUCGCCGGCGAGCCACGACGCCGCCACGCGCCGGCUUCCGCGGCCAGCACUGCACGGCUCUGCGGGUCAGUCAACUCCCACUUGCUCUGCGUACCCAUGCCGCGCCCAUGCCUUGCCAUGCCGACGACGUCACGCCGGUACUCCGACGCCACUGCUCUGGCCGUCCUCGCGUUGUCCUUGCCGCUGCUCACUGCCAGCUCCUCACCCGUGCCUUCUCCGCUAUCCAGAGCACAGAGAUCGUCAGCGCCACUUCCUUCCCUGCCUUCUUGCAAGUGGAACAAGGCCUGUUGUCUCUCUCUGUCUUCCCUCUCGUUCUUUCUUCUCCCUCUGUGCAAGAACGAGCAGACCUCACAGGUCACCGCCGGCCAAAAUACUCCAGCCACAAGCCACCAACUCUAAAUCCCUCUCACCCCAGGAUCCUACACAUCUCUGGCUCCCUUCUCAUCCAAGCCUCGUUGAACCCAAACGAAUCCCGUGCCGUGAAUGUCAAAUCUCACGGCCGUGGGUCGCAGUCGCCGCCGAGCACUUCCGUCUUCCGGCCUCCGUCUUCGCUGUCCAACGCUUCAAACCGUAUUCACGUGACAGCUCCUUGCGUGCACGGCCCUCUUGGCCAGGACGUAGUCGCCGCCGCCGCCGCAUGCACCUCCGCCAUGGCCGCCUCCAUGGUGAGCUCCAAGCAGCGCGAACCAGUGAGAACUGGGGAGCGCAUCGAUCACCUCUGCUGUAGAUGCUUGCGUUCUUUGUUGUAGUUCAAAUCAUGCUGGGUCGCCGGUUUUCGUGGCCGCCGGUGAGCUUCCGUGCGUCCAUCCGCAGGCCACGGCCAGGACCUAUCCAUGCUCACAGGCUGCUCUUGGAGCUCCUAUACAGACGCUAAGCCCACCAAUCCCCUCAUCGUGUGCCUUGUGCAGCCCGUCAUCGAGUGCAAAGCAUGGCCAAGGAGCAGGUGCAGGCCUAGCACUCUGCUUGUAUGCACGCUUUGGUGAAGAGAUGACCAAAGCUAGUUAGUUUCCUUCGUGUCAACACUUGUGCGUGCUUGAUUCUGUGAAAUUCCUAGAAAAAUAAUGGUAGCUCUAAAAAUCAUGAAACCAACUAUCAUAUCUUUGUAUCGUUAUUCCUUACAUUAUGCAAAUGCAGUUUCUCAUGAAAUGUUUGUCCAUUUGUUUUUGGUUUAUUUGUGUGUGAUGAAUAAAUUGUUAAAUGAAUGGUUAAUUCUCUGUUGCUUGAAGUCCUAUGAGAUAAAUCAUGUUAGUUCCCUUGACGCAUAAUCUAUCCAAUACCAUCAACUAUUGUUGUGACUUUAUGUGAUAACGUUGCACAGAUAAAAUCUGCUAUGACUCAUGAAUAGCUUUGAACUGGUAGUUUUCGCUAAAUAGUGGUUAAGUUUUUAUUUAUUUAUUCGUUCAUCAAUAGUUCAUAAGAUGCCAACAAUUAGUGAAGCCAACUCUAUGUGUGUUCUUAAAUCUGUUUUGAAGAGGGAAAGUAUUUUUUAGUAUGUUUAGGCAAGGCCGAAUGCUCUUAUCUGUGAUUAAAUUAUUUUUGCCUACUUAAUUUAUCUCAUAUCCAAAGUUAGUUCAGGCUCCAGGUGAGAUGUGCUUAUGCCUAAUUAAUCCGUACUAAAUGAUUGUACCACUAAGAUGCUGAAAUCACUUCUUUUAGUCCACCUGCCAUGCUGAGCUACCUAUUUCUGUGUAGUUAGCUUGUUUGCCUGCUCAACUGUCCGGUCAAAAAUCUUAAAUUGUAUUCGCUCACUCGCAUUGCAUCUCUGCAUUCAUGUAGGAACCGCAGUAGAUGACGUAGCGGAGGAGCAGGUGCAGGAGGAGUCCUAGCACAAGCAGUCCGAAGACCUGGCCCAAGGUCUGGAAGGGCUAAGGCCUCGAAAGAACUAACCACGAACAUUUGGAAGGCAAACGCUACAACGAGGUGCCGCUGCUCUGUGAUAUCAUAUCGGUGGGCUCAAUGUGAUGUCUUCUUCUCGGCGUCGCUUUCACUUUGUAGUUAGAUGACCGCUAUUUGUGUUUUAAACUUUACUCCAGUUGCACCUUUCAAAUCUACAUAUUAUUCUUGUACUUGAACUCUUUUUGUAAACUUUUGUAUCAUCCGUAUGUUGUAUCACUUAUUUUGUGUAAAAGCUGCUACGUUUGUAC